rnacentral:rRNA from 1 species
UACAGAGGUCCCAAGCGUUGUUCGGAUUCACUGGGCGUAAAGGGUGCGCAGGUGGUCGGGUAAGUCUGAUGUGAAAUCCCGCAGCUUAACUGCGGAAUGGCAUUGGAUACUAUUCGGCUAGAGGGUUGGAGGGGGACUGGAAUUCUCGGUGUAGCAGUGAAAUGCGUAGAUAUCGAGAGGAACACCAGUGGCGAAGGCGAGUCCCUGGACAACUCCUGACGCUGAGGCACGAAAGCUAGGGGAGCAAACAGG